AAGGCUUGACAUGUUCUCGAUCGCCGUAGAGAUACGGUUUCCCCCUUUGGGGCGGGUUCACAGGUGGUGCAUGGUUGUCGUCAGCUCGUGUCGUGAGAUGUUGGGUUAAGUCCCGCAACGAGCGCAACCCUCGUUCCAUGUUGCCAGCACGUAAUGGUGGGGGACUCAUGGGAGACUGCCGGGUCAACUCGGAGGAAGGUGAGGACGACGUCAAAUCAUCAUGCCCCUUAUGUCUUGGCUU
rnacentral:rRNA from 1 species